rnacentral:pre_miRNA from 1 species
UGUCCUUCACGGCUCUUUUUGCGGUCUGGGCUUGCUGUUCCUUAAAUCACCAGUCAGGAAGCCCUUACCCCAAAAAGUAUCUGUGUGGGAUC